rfam:Ricinus communis cultivar Hale ctg_1100012358493, whole genome shotgun sequence.
AGGAGCCGAAUGAAACCAAAGUUUCAUGUUCGGUUUUGAAUUAGAGACGGUAAAGAUGAUAAAUCAACGUCGACUAUAAC